GAUGAACGCUGGCGGCGUGCCUAAUACAUGCAAGUCGAGCGAACGGACGAGAAGCUUGCUUCUCUGAUGUUAGCGGCGGACGGGUGAGUAACACGUGGAUAACCUACCUAUAAGACUGGGAUAACUUCGGGAAACCGGAGCUAAUACCGGAUAAUAUAUUGAACCGCAUGGUUCAAUAGUGAAAGACGGUCUUGCUGUCACUUAUAGAUGGAUCCGCGCUGCAUUAGCUAGUCGGUAAGGUAACGGCUUACCAAGGCAACGAUGCAUAGCCGACCUGAGAGGGUGAUCGGCCACACUGGAACUGAGACACGGUCCAGACUCCUACGGGAGGCAGCAGUAGGGAAUCUUCCGCAAAGGGCGAAAGCCUGACGGAGCAACGCCGCGUGAGUGAUGAAGGUCUUCGGAUCGUAAAACUCUGUUAUUAGGGAAGAACAUAUGUGUAAGUAACUGUGCACAUCUUGACGGUACCUAAUCAGAAAGCCACGGCUAACUACGUG
rnacentral:rRNA from 1 species